CAUCAUAAUUUUUAUGGAGAGUUUGAUCCUGGCUCAGGAUGAACGCUGGCGGCGUGCCUAAUACAUGCAAGUCGAGCGAACGGACGAGAAGCUUGCUUCUCUGAUGUUAGCGGCGGACGGGUGAGUAACACGUGGAUAACCUACCUAUAAGACUGGGAUAACUUCGGGAAACCGGAGCUAAUACCGGAUAAUAUUUUGAACCGCAUGGUUCAAAAGUGAAAGACGGUCUUGCUGUCACUUAUAGAUGGAUCCGCGCUGCAUUAGCUAGUUGGUAAGGUAACGGCUUACCAAGGCAACGAUGCAUAGCCGACCUGAGAGGGUGAUCGGCCACACUGGAACUGAGACACGGUCCAGACUCCUACGGGAGGCAGCAGUAGGGAAUCUUCCGCAAUGGGCGAAAGCCUGACGGAGCAACGCCGCGUGAGUGAUGAAGGUCUUCGGAUCGUAAAACUCUGUUAUUAGGGAAGAACAUAUGUGUAAGUAACUGUGCACAUCUUGACGGUACCUAAUCAGAAAGCCACGGCUAACUACGUGCCAGCAGCCGCGGUAAUACGUAGGUGGCAAGCGUUAUCCGGAAUUAUUGGGCGUAAAGCGCGCGUAGGCGGUUUUUUAAGUCUGAUGUGAAAGCCCACGGCUCAACCGUGGAGGGUCAUUGGAAACUGGAAAACUUGAGUGCAGAAGAGGAAAGUGGAAUUCCAUGUGUAGCGGUGAAAUGCGCAGAGAUAUGGAGGAACACCAGUGGCGAAGGCGACUUUCUGGUCUGUAACUGACGCUGAUGUGCGAAAGCGUGGGGAUCAAACAGGAUUAGAUACCCUGGUAGUCCACGCCGUAAACGAUGAGUGCUAAGUGUUAGGGGGUUUCCGCCCCUUAGUGCUGCAGCUAACGCAUUAAGCACUCCGCCUGGGGAGUACGACCGCAAGGUUGAAACUCAAAGGAAUUGACGGGGACCCGCACAAGCGGUGGAGCAUGUGGUUUAAUUCGAAGCAACGCGAAGAACCUUACCAAAUCUUGACAUCCUUUGACAACUCUAGAGAUAGAGCCUUCCCCUUCGGGGGACAAAGUGACAGGUGGUGCAUGGUUGUCGUCAGCUCGUGUCGUGAGAUGUUGGGUUAAGUCCCGCAACGAGCGCAACCCUUAAGCUUAGUUGCCAUCAUUAAGUUGGGCACUCUAAGUUGACUGCCGGUGACAAACCGGAGGAAGGUGGGGAUGACGUCAAAUCAUCAUGCCCCUUAUGAUUUGGGCUACACACGUGCUACAAUGGACAAUACAAAGGGCAGCGAAACCGCGAGGUCAAGCAAAUCCCAUAAAGUUGUUCUCAGUUCGGAUUGUAGUCUGCAACUCGACUACAUGAAGCUGGAAUCGCUAGUAAUCGUAGAUCAGCAUGCUACGGUGAAUACGUUCCCGGGUCUUGUACACACCGCCCGUCACACCACGAGAGUUUGUAACACCCGAAGCCGGUGGAGUAACCUUUUAGGAGCUAGCCGUCGAAGGUGGGACAAAUGAUUGGGGUGAAGUCGUAACAAGGUAGCCGUAUCGGAAGGUGCGGCUGGAUCACCUCCUUUCUA
rnacentral:rRNA from 1 species